GACGUAGGGCGCGAGCGUUGUCCGGAUUUAUUGGGCGUAAAGAGCGUGUAGGCGGCCAGGUAGGUCUGCUGUGAGAACUUGAGGCUCAACCUCGAGACGUCGGCGGAAACCAUCUGGCUAGAGUCCGGAAGAGGAGAGUGGAAUUCCUGGUGUAGCGGUGAAAUGCGCAGAUAUCAGGAAGAACACCCGUGGCGAAAGCGGCUCUCUGGAACGGUACUGACGCUGAGACGCGAAAGCGUGGGGAGCGAACAGG
rnacentral:rRNA from 1 species